UGUAAAACGUAUUAAGAAAACAGAGCGAGAGAGAGAGCAGCCCAUGCUUAUAGGUGCUUACUACUUCUCACUGUAUUCAGUCUCCUUCUUGUGUCAAAGAUGCAGGUUGUUAGUGGUGGACAAUCACUUUGGAUAUAUACUCUGCUUAUCACUUCUCUACAACUUUGGGGAAGACUUUCAGCUUCCACUUCCUCUACCACUCUUCCGGCACCUAAACUUGACAUCUAUUCGAGGUCAAAGGACUCAGUGGUUUUGGUCUGCCGGGCCCCAGAGGGUCGCCGAGGGGUUCAGUUCAUGUUGUAUGAAGUCAGAGAAAUGGUGGACUCUCAGGAGCUGCAGUCUGCUGCUGAAGAGGUUCUGUUCACUGUGAGGGUAAAGGAAGGGGAUUCAGUGCAGCUCUUCUGCUGUCUGUACAGGGAACAGGCUGGUCCUUACAGUGUGUUUAGUCCAUAUUUGCAGCUGGAGCACACAAGAGAUGACGCUCCUACUCGCUCCAUGCCCUCUUUCCCAACUCCAGUCUUGUCUGUGAAUCCCUCUACUGGUAGGGUAAAACGUGGGGACAUGUUGUCGUUCAGCUGCUCAGUCCCUCUUCUACCCCAGUCCCAGUCCCAGUCUAGAUAUAACAGAAAACCAGUGGCAUUUCUUUUGCUGAGGGCCGCUAAGCGAACAGGGAUGACAUCUGUAAUCCUCCAGCCUUUGGCCAGUCAGAUAUCAAACCCUGACCCCCAGCCCGGAGUCUUCACUGUGGGGCCAGUGAGGGGAGGAGAGGAGGGCGAGUACACCUGCCUUUACCAGCUCACCAAAAAAAGGGGAUUGGUUAAUUCAACUGUCAGCAACAUGGUUCAAAUCACUAUUACAGACGCGUUGCCAGUUCCCACCCUUGUCUUCCAGCACCAGACGGACGUGUGGCAUUUGCUUUGCACAGGCUCUCCUGCUUACCCCGGUGCUGUGUUCUCCCUCUACCUGGAUGAUAAUGAAUUUCCUGUUGCCACUCAACAUGCCACCUUGAUCAAUCAUCAUGCCACCUUCUCAGUGCCUGUCCAGGACACUCCAGUGGCUUUUUACCAGUGCCAGUACGAUGUCCUCCUGGUAGAGAAAUGGAGCAACUCGGAGCGCAGCCUCCCUUUGGCUGUGACCAGAGGAAUUCCUCCUCCAUCAUCAACAGAUAUGUUCGGUGUGGACUGGCCUCUCGUACUGGGCUCUUUCUCUGUUGUGGUUUUGUUCCUCUGCUCAGUGGCCCUCGUGGUUGUGGUAGCACGCAGGAAAGUAAAAGCAGCGGCCGAGGAAAAAAAGAAAAGACAGGAAGCACAGUUCUGGACUCAAGUUCAUGCUAAGGACCAUGUUGUUGACCUUCCACUCAGGCGUACAAGCUGCACCUCUCAGGUAAUUAUUAAUGAAUACCUUAAUCUACAAUCGGUUAUACAAAAUCUUGAGUGAUUUAUCCCCUUUGAUUAAGAAAUAGCUUCUUUUACCUUUGUACUUUCCAUAACAACACUGUGAAUUAAAGGAUAAGUCUGGCUGGCUCAAUACUUUCAGACUUUCACAGUCUGUCUGUGUCCCGCAGCCCCAUCCCCAUUGGUUCCUAUUGGAUAAUCUAAAACAGCUGGACACAUCAGUUCUUGGCAAACAGUACUCAAAUAGGAGUAAAUACUACAUUUUUAGAGUUUCAGCACUUUCAGCAGUGCAUUAAUAUGCAUUUUGUGAUUUCAGUAUUUACAACAGCAGGACGAUGUUUGGAUACUUCAUCAAUUCAUUGAUGGUUUUGGUCUUUUCAUGGGAUUUGUUGACAAUAACAAAAACAUCCGCUAAGCAUGUUUUACUUUGCAAUAGCAAUGUUAUGCAUUUGAACACAAAAAUAAGGCAGAUCAUGUGCAGUUUUCUGAGUCCGCCUCUUUCUUUUGGUAUUUCUGGUAUUUCUGCAGCCUGUACAGUAUGUUUCUCCUGUAGGUUCACUUUGACAAACAACUGUAAACUUCCCUGAUCCCUGCUGUAAACAAACACACACAUACAUGCACAAAUAGACACACAUACACACACACACACACACACACACACACAUACACACACACUGCCAAUCACCAAGCAUGCUGUCAACCCACAUAUAUUUCUCGUUCGUGCGGUAGCGCAGGGUUUGGGUGUGCCUCUCAUUAGCUGUAAUCACAUUUAUUAAUUAGCUCGAUGACAGCCUCUCAUUAGACUAAAGUCUCUCUCCAGACUCUCUCUUUCUCUCUGAGUUACUGAAUAGCCAUCUUAUAGGACAGCAUGCUGUCAUCGCCAGCUGAUGGAAAGACUAACCUGCUAUCAGGAAACAGCCACAGCAGGAGCUGAAUAUUUAACAUGAACAGUGAUCUGGAGUGUCCUCGUCUUACCUUUAACUUAAAGAGCAGUAAUUUCAUCAGAAAUCACACCUGUUUUUUGGUAUAUGUUGGUGCUGUUUUAUUACACUGUGUCGCUUCACAGAUUAGACUGCACUUUGAGUUUUAAAACAUAUUUAAAAUGAAGUCGGUAAACAGUAAGUCAGAUGAAUUGGUACAACUAUAUUUAUUGAGGUUUGCUUUAGAGAAACACUUCAGCCUUCAUCGAGGCCCAUAUGAAGAUGGGAGGUAGGAUCUCUCCGGAAAGGACUGAGUUGCUGUAGGAAUGCAGGCAGAAUCAGACGUUUAUGGUGAGUUAAAUUAGAACAGGAGGACAUAGCAGAAUGUAGGAGAACUUUAUUUAACUUUUGCUUUGAAUAGUAGACGGUUUUUUCUUGAACAUUUUUAUUUUCGUCUUUAUUUGACAGAUUAGUGUAGAAGUGGAGGAGAGCGAGAGAGAGUCCCAAGGCUGGACUCAAACCCAGGACGAUGCUGUUGUAAAUCAUGUGCUGUAACCACUCGGCUACCAAGGCACUCCAUUAACUCAAUAGUUAAUAAUUAUAUUAUUUAUUACUCCAAAGACUAAAAGCAUAUUUCAUCUACAAAACAAUGCUGAAAAAGAAGAAUGUAGACCCCAUCAUGUUCUUGGAGUUUCCGAAAAUGGGACAUUUUAGGGAUGAUAUAUCGGCAGUGAUGAAAGCGAUACUAGGGCAUGAAAUACCCAAGAUGAUGUGUUGUAAUUAGAUACCCAGUCACAGAGGAACCUGUUCAAAAGUAAAAGCAGUGGUAUGAUAUGUACGAUCUCAAAUGAAAUGACAUUAUGCUGAGAUCUUUAACAUCUUGUAUGUGUGUGUUCUGUGUGUGUUUGUGUGUGUUUUGUGUGCAGGAAUGGGCCAGUGUAGACACAGAGACAGCCUCCAGAUCCCCUUUAUGGAACUCACUCUCCACAUUCACAAGCCCGAUCCAUUAGAAAUGUUAGUGUUUUCUCUCUCUCUCUCUCUUUCUCUCUCUCUCUCUCUCUCUCUCUCUCUCUCUCUCUCUCUCUCUCUCUCUCUCUCUCUCUCUCUCUCUCUCUCUCCUCUCUCUCUCUCUCUCUCUCUCUCUGUGUUUAUACUUUAUUCAAGUAUAUCAAUGUAGCAUCAGCUGGAGUUACACAGCAGGACAGGAAGGACUAUUUCCUCAGUUCUUCUAAAAUUGUACAAUUUACAGGAUGUUUGUUUGACCUUACAUGUUAUUGAGCCAGUACAUCUAAAUACAGAUGUUAUUAUCAUUAUGAAGUAAGAAUGAAGUAUGAAUAACUUACCUUAACUUACUUUAAGUCAUUUUGUAGUGCUAUUAGCAGACUUGUUGUACGUUCCAGCAUAAGGGGUGUCACGAUAUACCGGGUAACUGCAAUAUCAAUCUAGUUUAUUGUAAAUCCAUUAGGACAAAAGCGUCAGUAAAAUGUGUUCUAAAAAAUUCAAUAUUGAUAUUUAAUACUACAAUAUGAUAUAUCAUGUAAAUAAUACAGCUACUAUCACACUUUUGUACAGUUUCAGACUCUCGCUCCGCCUUCAUACACCCGUAUAUUGACUGUAAUUAUUUUGCCAAAAAUCACACAAAACGCAAAAUAAACAAAGUUAAAGAUGUAUUUGUCUGAUUUGACUAUUAUUUGAUUGUUUGACUUUUUAUUUAUUUAUAGAUACCGC
rnacentral:lncRNA from 1 species